GGGCUGUAGAGAAAAAUCUGUCCUGAAAAACAAAAGUAAAAAAAGAAAAAAAGAGUUUACAACACACCCAAGAAGAAUCUGGGGCCACUGUAAUGAGGGGCACAGCACUGUGUCCUCUCUGUGAGCAGAUCCCCUACAUGA